rnacentral:lncRNA from 1 species
AGCUUAAAGUGCCUUUUAUAACUAUCAGAAGUGCUAAAAAAUGUUUCAGAAAAAUGUUUUUGUUAUCCAGGUUAUCUCCCCUUAAAUGGCAAAGUUACAAAAUAUUUUGAUCAACAAAAAUAUUCUGCAUUUGUAAAUCAGCAAAGUGUUAAUAUUAAACUUAUCACUUUUCUUAUUAAGAUAAUGACAAAAUGUUGGAUGAAAGUUUUUGAUGUAAGCUGUCAAUAAAAUUUAGUUUUUGUAGUAAAUGGAGUUGUAUGAGAUAUCAACCUUAAACAAAUGAAUAUCUGUUAACCUAUUUUAGGAUGAACAAAUGUGUUUAAUCUGUGAAUGUUUGAAAACAAAGUAGUUAUGACCAUACAAAACAGGCCAAAUUUUAUCUUUAAUUUCACAUUUGAAUGUUCUAAAAUUAAAGUCCUAUACAUAUGCAUGUAUAUGAAAUUUGCAAAUAAAAGUGUCCAACUUAAUUGCCUGUAUCAAUAGUUUUUGAAUAUUUUUUUAUUUCAGUGUCCAUAAAACAUGUCACAUUUUAUCUUGUUAGAUAUUUCAAUCUUAACAAAAAGACCCUAAUAGAAUAUCAGUUAAAACUAUAACCUUUAUUGUCAUUUAAAACCAAUUGUGAGGACAAAAUGGUCAUUUGUAAAUACAGUUGUAUGGAUUUCAA